rnacentral:rRNA from 1 species
UACGUAGGGUGCAAGCGUUGUCCGGAUUUACUGGGCGUAAAGAGCGCGCAGGCGGUCGUGCAAGUCGCGUGUGAAAGCCCCCCGGCUCAACUGGGGAGGGUCACGCGAUACUGCUCGACUUGAAGGCAGGAGAGGGAAGUGGAAUUCCCGGUGUAGUGGUGAAAUGCGUAGAUAUCGGGAGGAACACCAGUGGCGAAGGCGACUUCCUGGCCUGUUCUUGACGCUGAGGCGCGAAAGCUAGGGUAGCAACGGG